UCUUCAUGAAACCUAAUCGGUGUUCAAGCAUAAGCACAAGAACGUAAAUAUAUAUACAUAUACUCAUACAAUAUAUAUACGUUUCCGUGUUUAUACCACACGCACAAUGUCAAUCAAUCUCCUUAUGACCCUCCACGGGACGACCUUCCUCCUUCUCGUUGCCUCAAGCCAAGCGUUGAAGCUUUCUCUCGGUGACCCCUGCACUGUGGCGGAUUAUCCAAAAUUAUGCAGACGCACCAUUAAAGGUCAAACGAAUGUGAACGCAGCGACGGAUAUGGCCAUAAAAGAGCUAAUGAAGCGGACCAUGCAAGCCAAAGAUAUGGCCAAGAAAGAGCCGAAAGGCGACGGAGGAGUUGCGGUUUGUUUGUCCACCUUCGGUAGCGCGUUUGACAACUUGGACAAGGCCCUUAAGAAUAUUCAGGGGAAUGAUGGUUUUAGCCUCAACAUUAACCUUAGCGCUGCGUUGACUGACUACGAUACUUGCAGUGAUGCAAUGAAGGAAACUGGUGAGGUUAGCGUUAGCGUCGUCUAUAAAUCAGCAGGCGUUUUGUAUAAAAUGGCUGAUAAUUGUUUGGCACUUUCUACACUCGUUAAACUAUGAUUUAUUAAGGAGAACUGGGAAUUUCGGGGAAAUAAAUGAUAUAUUUAUCAUUUGAUUAUACGGGUUUAUUUAUUUGUAUUUUUAUUCAAUUUGAUUAAUUUCACAUUAGCUGAAAGAAAAAAAAAUUAGAAGGAAAGAUGAAAAAGGGAGAGGGAGAUCUUGUGUGUAUGUAGAUGGAAAACGUUUGGACACUGGGUUCUAAUUCAAACAUAUCAACUUCUGUUUCAGUCACAUGUACAUGUGUAUAAUAUUAGUUAGGUGAUAUUCUUCUCUUUUAUCUCCUUCUAUUAGAGUCUAUAAAUCUGUAAAAAAAUUGGGAGAGGAAAAACCAUUUUAACAACAGCCAUAGUACAUACUUUAUUCAGUUUUAUAGUUUUUUUUAAAAUAAAUUGGAGGAAGAGAUGCAGGUGAAAAAACACUUGUCAUUUAACAAAUUUUUAAAGAAAGUUAUAACUUAUUUUUUUGCUAUUUAUUUUUUUUCUAGUUGCCUAUAGAGAGAAAUAAUCUUAUAUAUAAUGGAACAUUUUUGGCUCUCCUAAGGUUGUCUACGUGUCCACUUUAUAAAGACUGUAGGGACUACUUAAUGUCCGGUUUAGUUUUGUCGAGUAGAUGUGUAUUUUGCCCGGUUUAGUUUUUCCGAAUCGGAUUGAAGUUUGGUCGGUCUGAUAUGUGUCUACCGCGUUUGGUUUCGUAAAUGAGUAAAACUAUGUGUUCCGCUUAGGGCUUCGUUGUUGUCGUCCUCACAAAACUUGACCUCGCCGUUUUCUGCUUUUAUAAACUGGAAAACUCAUGUUUGUCAUCUCAAUCUCUUUACCUUCCUUGUCGUUAUCUCUUCCCUAUUGUUCAAUGUUUUUCUUCAAUUUCGUUCUUUUAAUCCGGAAAUAUUUAUUAAUCACAAAAAACUCACUUACGAUGUAGCCUUUUCCGUUUCCUUCACUUGAAAUCUAUAUAUAUCAGCGGGUUAACCAUGAUUGAUCCUCUCAACUACUUGCAGUUUAUCAUUUUAUAAAGCUAAGAAAUAUUUUUAAAGAUGGCUUUGUUCUCGUGCACUCAGCCUUUGAUGGUCUUCGCCUCAGUAGAUCUGCCCAGUUUGUAGUUGGUCGUCUGCUCUGUUUUUGGGACUCCAAAAACAUCAAGAAGCAAGGUGAAUUCGUGGGAAUCACCCUCCAACUCCUUUAUGAGAAGGUAUUGUAACGAUAAGCGUUUUUUCUUAGUUCAGUUUUUUCGUAAAAAGCCGAUGAUUUAAAUCUUCAUUCUUUAAUUGCUGAAUUCUGUGAUACAUGGAUUUGCAAACACUAAAUUAUGACAAAUCAGCUUCAUGUGUCAUUUCCAAUAGUAGAUUAAGUUCAUGACUUCAACGAGCCGUUGAUCCAAGUAAAUAUAAAAUAUGUUUGGGUUUUCGAUAAGCAUUACUAUGUCUUUAAUAUACUACCUUGGUAAAGACACAUGAAGCUGAUUUUAUUUGCAAGGGUCGGGUUGUUGAAGUCAUGCAACAAAAUGGGUGGUCUUUCGUCUCCUGCACUGGCUGCAGCACAAAGCUUGACAAAUUUGGGACUUCUCUGCGUUGCACCCGUUGUAUUAAUCCGAACAUAAUUGGCGUUAUCAAGUAUCGAGUGGAAUUAUUGGUUGAUGAUGGGAAUGAUAAUGCCACUUUUGUGGUGUUCGGCAGGGAAAUGCUUAAACUGACAAAGCAAGAUGCAGCUGGACUGACCCUAGCUGAGAUGAAUGGUGGUGGCGACGUAGAACUCCCACAAUGUCUUAAAGACCUAGCUGGUAAAGAUUUUGUCUUCCAGAUACGUGUGACACCGUUCAAUUUUACUCCAAGCCACCAUGUUUUUACUGUUUCCGAUCCUCGACAACAUCACCCCCAAGACUUUCAAGACCAAUGAAGAUCAAUUUCUUCAAGUUGAAGGUGGGGAACCAUCGGCAUCUGCCAGCGUUAAGGCUACAGGUGAAGGCAAUGAACCAAAUCCACCCGCUUGUGGAGUCAAGGAGAGUGGCCGUAAACGCCCACAUGAGUGAAGUUAAAAAGCUGCAACAACGUCAACCCUGCACUGUUUUUGUUUCGUUCAUUUUCCUCCCGUGCUUUGCAUAUCCUAUUUAAGACAUUUUCCUACCGUUUCCUGCAUUUCCUAUUUUUUAGACCUUGUGCUUAAUUUCAUAUUUGAAGGCUUUUGUUUUGUUUAGACACUUACGAUUUUAAUUAUUAUCAAAAUGGGUUGACAAAAUA